rnacentral:rRNA from 1 species
UUAAGCGACUAAGCGUACACGGUGGAUGCCCUGGCAGUCAGAGGCGAUGAAGGACGUGCUAAUCUGCGAAAAGCGUCGGUAAGGUGAUAUGAACCGUUAUAACCGGCGAUGUCCGAAUGGGGAAACCCAGUGCAAUUCGUUGCACUAUCGUUAACUGAAUACAUAGGUUAACGAGGCGAACCGGGGGAACUGAAACAUCUAAGUACCCCGAGGAAAAGAAAUCAACCGAGAUUCCCCCAGUAGCGGCGAGCGAACGGGGAGCAGCCCAGAGUCUGAAUCAGCUUGUGUGUUAGUGGAACGGUCUGGAAAGUCCGACGGUACAGGGUGAUAGUCCCGUACACCAAAAUGCACAGGCUGUGAACUCGAAGAGUAGGGCGGGACACGUGGUAUCCUGUCUGAAUAUGGGGGGACCAUCCUCCAAGGCUAAAUACUCCUGACUGACCGAUAGUGAACCAGUACCGUGAGGGAAAGGCGAAAAGAACCCCGGCGAGGGGAGUGAAAAAGAACCUGAAACCGUGUACGUACAAGCAGUGGGAGCACCUUUAUGGUGUGACUGCGUACCUUUUGUAUAAUGGGUCAGCGACUUAUAUUCUGUAGCAAGGUUAACCGUAUAGGGGAGCCGCAGGGAAACCGAGUCUUAACUGGGCGUUAAGUUGCAGGGUAUAGACCCGAAACCCGGUGAUCUAGCCAUGGGCAGGUUGAAGGUUGGGUAACACUAACUGGAGGACCGAACCGACUAAUGUUGAAAAAUUAGCGGAUGACUUGUGGCUGGGGGUGAAAGGCCAAUCAAACCGGGAGAUAGCUGGUUCUCCCCGAAAGCUAUUUAGGUAGCGCCUCGUGAACUCAUCUUCGGGGGUAGAGCACUGUUUCGGCUAGGGGGUCAUCCCGACUUACCAACCCGAUGCAAACUACGAAUACCGAAGAAUGUUAUCACGGGAGACACACGGCGGGUGCUAACGUCCGUCGUGAAGAGGGAAACAACCCAGACCGCCAGCUAAGGUCCCAAAGUCAUGGUUAAGUGGGAAACGAUGUGGGAAGGCACAGACAGCCAGGAUGUUGGCUUAGAAGCAGCCAUCAUUUAAAGAAAGCGUAAUAGCUCACUGGUCGAGUCGGCCUGCGCGGAAGAUGUAACGGGGCUAAACCAUGCACCGAAGCUGCGGCAGCGACACUAUGUGUUGUUGGGUAGGGGAGCGUUCUGUAAGCCUGCGAAGGUGGCCUGUGAGGGUUGCUGGAGGUAUCAGAAGUGCGAAUGCUGACAUAAGUAACGAUAAAGCGGGUGAAAAGCCCGCUCGCCGGAAGACCAAGGGUUCCUGUCCAACGUUAAUCGGGGCAGGGUGAGUCGACCCCUAAGGCGAGGCCGAAAGGCGUAGUCGAUGGGAAACAGGUUAAUAUUCCUGUACUUGGUGUUACUGCGAAGGGGGGACGGAGAAGGCUAUGUUAGCCGGGCGACGGUUGUCCCGGUUUAAGCAUGUAGGCUGGUUAUCCAGGCAAAUCCGGAUAAUCAAGGCUGAGGUGUGAUGACGAGGCACUACGGUGCUGAAGUAACAAAUGCCCUGCUUCCAGGAAAAGCCUCUAAGCAUCAGGUAACAUCAAAUCGUACCCCAAACCGACACAGGUGGUCAGGUAGAGAAUACCAAGGCGCUUGAGAGAACUCGGGUGAAGGAACUAGGCAAAAUGGUGCCGUAACUUCGGGAGAAGGCACGCUGGUGUGUAGGUGAAGUCCCUGCGGAUGGAGCUGAGACCAGUCGAAGAUACCAGCUGGCUGCAACUGUUUAUUAAAAACACAGCACUGUGCAAACACGAAAGUGGACGUAUACGGUGUGACGCCUGCCCGGUGCCGGAAGGUUAAUUGAUGGGGUUAUCCGUAAGGAGAAGCUCUUGAUCGAAGCCCCGGUAAACGGCGGCCGUAACUAUAACGGUCCUAAGGUAGCGAAAUUCCUUGUCGGGUAAGUUCCGACCUGCACGAAUGGCGUAAUGAUGGCCAGGCUGUCUCCACCCGAGACUCAGUGAAAUUGAACUCGCUGUGAAGAUGCAGUGUACCCGCGGCAAGACGGAAAGACCCCGUGAACCUUUACUAUAGCUUGACACUGAACAUUGAGCCUUGAUGUGUAGGAUAGGUGGGAGGCUUUGAAGCGUGGACGCCAGUCUGCGUGGAGCCAACCUUGAAAUACCACCCUUUAAUGUUUGAUGUUCUAACGUUGGCCCCUUAUCGGGGUUGCGGACAGUGUCUGGUGGGUAGUUUGACUGGGGCGGUCUCCUCCCAAAGCGUAACGGAGGAGCACGAAGGUUAGCUAAUCCUGGUCGGACAUCAGGAGGUUAGUGCAAUGGCAUAAGCUAGCUUGACUGCGAGCGUGACGGCGCGAGCAGGUGCGAAAGCAGGUCAUAGUGAUCCGGUGGUUCUGAAUGGAAGGGCCAUCGCUCAACGGAUAAAAGGUACUCCGGGGAUAACAGGCUGAUACCGCCCAAGAGUUCAUAUCGACGGCGGUGUUUGGCACCUCGAUGUCGGCUCAUCACAUCCUGGGGCUGAAGUAGGUCCCAAGGGU